UCCGGUUGAUCCUGCCGGACCCGACUGCUAUUGGGGUGAGGCUAAGCCAUGCGAGUUAGCUCUCCUAGCCAUGAUGGAGGGCGGCGUACGGGGCAGUAACAUGUGGUCAAUCUACCCUCAGGACGGAGAUAACCUCGGGAAACUGGGGCUAAUAUCCGAUAGAUAAUGGAUCCUGGAAUGGUUCAUUAUUCAAACGGCACAUUGCUCAUGCGCAGUGUGUCGCCUGAGGAUGAGACUGCACCCUAUCAGGUAGUUGGUGGGGUAACGGCCCACCAAGCCUAUAACGGGUACGGGCCCUGAGAGGGGGAGCCCGGAGAUGGGCACUGAGACAAGGGCCCAGGCCCUACGGGGCGCAGCAGGCGCGAAACCUCUGCAAUGCGCGAAAGCGCGACAGGGCCACCCCGAGUGCUAGCCGCUGAGGUUAGCUUUUCCUUAGUGUAGUAAGCUAAGGGAAUAAGCGGGGGGCAAGCCUGGUGUCAGCCGCCGCGGUAAUACCAGCUCCGCGAGUGGUCGGGACGAUUAUUGGGCCUAAAGCGUCCGUAGCCGGCCUAUCAAGUCUCUGGUUAAACCUCAAGGCUCAACCUUGAGAUUGCUGGAGAUACUGUUAGGCUAGGGGGCGGGAGAGGUUGAGGGUACUUCGCGGGUAGGGGCGAAAUCCUAUAAUCCGC
rnacentral:rRNA from 1 species